UACUACAAAGACGUGUACUCGGCGCUGUUGUGGAGCAUUCGUUCAGUAGACAUCAAGUUAAAAGCAUCCAGUGCAUUUCCGCCUCCUGACUUUGCUUUGGUUUUCAAGUCUGUUUGAACCUCAAAUAUUAGCCAGAAUGAAGGUUUACAUGUGCCUGCUUCUCCUGAUGGUCGUCGGAUGUGCCUUGUGUUUCGCAGACACGGACGACCUUCUUGCUGAGGAGUUGAUGCAAGAACUGCAAUCUCGCGAGAUAGUGAAGAAGACAUAUUGCACAUCUGAGGCCGAUUGUUCUCGUUUAAGGACAUGUUGGUUUGGCCGGUGCGUGGAUUACUGACAAUCAACAUGAAUGACUUAAACCAUGAUCGUCAGUGAAUAACCGACAGCAAGGCUUUAUUUUG